GUCAGCCAAUUCCCAUGCUUGGAAUGUGCAGCAUUAUCACAAGGAGGUGAUGCAGGUAGUGAAAGUGAGGGAAGGAUCACUCAAACCCCAGGCCCUGAAGGGAGCCAACAUCUGCAAGCCGCGGUCUCAAAGGCUCUGAAAGUUCCAGACCUCCUUACUCUAGGAGAAACAGAAGGCCUUGUCUUGCGCCGCCAGCUUCGGGUUGCCCUCUGUCUGUGUGGAGGAUGCAUUGGGACCAAGUCCCUUGUGGCUCUUGGCCCAGGUGGGUUAGUUUUCAAAGAGACAGGAGUCACUGUCACUUGAGGCUGUCGUGUGGUAGUUGCCUUGCGAGUCUUCAGUUCUGCCCAGAAACGUGAGAAAACUUCAUCAAGCUGUUGCAAGAAUCGGUCCAUGAUUUAUUUUUUUCUUAACUCAAGUGAGACAUGACAAAUAGAGGGAAAAAUGGUGGAACAGUGAAAAAAAAACGAAAAAAAAAACUACAUUAUUUCAUUUUGUUCCUGCUCCUCCUAUUUCACUACUUCUGACUUGAUCUGAGAUCUUCUUAAUGCCAUUUUUGGUCGCCCAAAUUGUUUUCCCCAAAACAAUUGCAUGGACAAAAUUCACCCAGACCAAUAUAUCUCAAAUUUUGUCCAUCUGAACCAAAAAUGCUCUUUGGAGAAACAAUUCAUUUGAAGUCUACUUGGAAUGUUGUUUUUUUUUUUUUGGUCAUAUUUUGUUAUAUUUCUAUUGAGUUCUUACUGCCAUCUAGUGUGUAAAUGUCAUACUUUAGUUGUGUUGUUUCAAAGCAGCAAAUAUUAAACACAACGGUUUGUCCAAUAAAUAGGAAAAUUAUGUAGGAGAAGAAUAAGAAAGUAGCGAUGAGUUGGAGAAUUUUUCUAAUUCAGCUGUUUUGGCGUAACAUUUACAAUUACCUUAUCGCUUGCCAAGAAUUUUGAUGUUUCCC